AAAUUCUUGCCAGAACAUCAAGACCCACAGAUAUGUAAUUUGCUUGAAAUACUAAAAAUCUCAUUGAAAGGAAGUAAAACAUUUCAAAAUAGCCAUCUGGAAGAAAUCUGGAAUUAAGGAAGAUAUUCUCGCCUCGAAUGGGCAUCGUUUCUAUGCACCUUAGGAAGCUAUUCAACAGCUGCAGCUCCUGUAAGCCCACCAUAUGUCCAGGCUGCAAGGUACAGGACGGCAACAAUCCAGUUAUUUGUGGAAGCUCCCAUCGUUAUAGAAAACCAUAGGAUUUCAGCUUACCAUGUGUAUGAGCAGUAAAGAAAAUAAAACAUCAACAGCUGUGUAGAAAACUCUCCAGCCAGGUGAUAUAGAUCCUGCAGUUAAAGAUGAGCCACCAGUCACAGAAGUGGUAUAUUUGGCAUGCUGAGGAAAUCUACUAUAUAACCCAACCGUUUUGUCCUUUGGUAUCCUCAGGAAAGCAAAAAUAAGGAGCUCAUCUAAGAUUAAACCACAGAAUCACCAAGUGACAGAAGGCCAACCGGC